GCCUUCCCUUGUGUAACGACAGCAUCCCACAGAGGACAAAGGAAACUUUGAAGAACUAGUAACGGACGAAUAAAGCUUGGCUUUAACAGGAAUAACUGGAAGAAGCAGUGAGGUACGGGCCACGGCAGAUGACACUCAGGCCAUGGCAGAUGACACAGUUAUCUCGAGUCUCACCAAAGGAAAGAGGUGCAGCAAAUGCUCAAAGUACGUCUGGGAACGUAGUGUUACUCAGAAGUCUUCAAAGAAACAGAAACACAGGAACUGAGCCUGGAGCGAAAGCGUAUUACCACAGGCACAGGCAUGUAGAAGACGCCAGUGCCUUGGCCUCAAGAGAUGGCCAAGCAUCCCUCUGGUUCAAAUACUAGUGUUCACCAAUGCCUGACCUACAGGAAUGUGCAAAAGCUAGCACCUGCAGCAUCUUCCUCACAGAUGACUGUACUCUUGAGACUGCUCCCCUCUGAGACCUUCCAAGGCUAGCUAACGCCUAUCCUAACUCAUGCUUGUACAUGACAAACUCCCUCAGGUUUUAGGUUGCAUCAUUGGUGUCCCUCCGUCAGAAUGAUUCCAGACUUCCUGUACACGUGUUUGUUCUUUCUUCAUUAUCUUAUCACCCUAGUCAGGGUUCCAGACUACCCUGUGCAGUAUUAGGUGCAGAGUUCAAAAGAUGGAUGUGUAUGUCUGCACGCAGCACGUGUGUGCAUGCGUGUGUGUACACACUGAUAGAUUUUAAGGCACUGACUUGUGUAAUCACGGAGCAGCAAGUCUGAAUUCUGCAGGGGGCUGGCAGACAGUGGUCCAGGCAAUGCUGUUACUGUGGCUGACAUCCAAAGUGGCUGACAUGCAAAGGCAGGGGAGGAUCCUCACUAGGAAGGCCUCAGUCCUUUAUCUUAAAGCCCUCCGGUGACUGGUUGAGGCCCACCCACAUGACAGGGAAUGCACUGUGUCUCCUGAGUUGAAUGCUAAUGUUACUGAAGAAGCGCCUUCACAAUCAGGCUGUUAAUGGACAGACAUCUAGGUACCCCGGCCUAGUCAGGAUGAGUCAUCAAAGCAACCUGCACACUCACAGAGGCAUCUAAAGCACCGCACCUCUUUCCCAACACUGCUUGGGCUGCAGCCCACAAACCACCAGCUUACAGAUUCAUCACUAGUCAAUUCAAAGUCGCAGGAAUUUAUAUAGAAGUGAGCUGUUUAAUCUUUAAACAUUUGGGAUGUCUCUCUCUUUUUGUGGCACAGUUCUAAUUCUUCAGUACCAAAGAUCCCUUUAUUGUCUAGUUCUGUUGUCUGUUUUAAUCAGAAGAAUUUUGUAUACUGACCUAUUUCAAGGUGGGGCCUUAUGGGAGGCAGCAGGUUAGUGGGGGCCAUGCCUCUCAAGGGCUUCGCUUGCCCCUGGCUCCUUCUUAGCUAUCUCUCUGUCUGCUGUGAGGUACUCCACCCUGCUUCACCAUAUGCUCCCUGCACAGCGUGCCUCUCCUUGCAAGAACCAGCAACCGUCAAGUAACUACAGGCUGAAGCCUCCAAACACUCUGAGAGAGAAUAAAUCCUUCCCUCCUUCCUU